GAUGAAGAACGUAGCGAAAUGCGAUACUUGGUGUGAAUUGCAGAAUCCCGUGAACCAUCGAGUCUUUGAACGCAAGUUGCGCCCGAAGCCGUCAGGCCGAGGGCACGCCUGCCUGGGCGUCACACGCCGUUGCCCCCCCCGCGCCCCGCACCCAACUCUUUGGGAGCGACCGCGGGGCGGGCUGAUGAUGGCCUCCCGUGCGCUCCGCCGCGCGGUUGGCCCAAAUACCGAGUCCCCGGCGACGUGCGCCACGACGAUCGGUGGUUGAGAGACCUCUGUCGCAAGUCGUGCGCGCCCGUCGCGUCACGCGGGCUCGCAUAGCGCCUCGCGCCGCACCCGGUGCGGAGCUUUCAACGCGACCCCAGGUCAGGCGGGGUUACCCGCUGAAUUUAAGCAUAUCAAUAAGCGGAGA
rnacentral:misc_RNA from 1 species